CCUCGCUGUCGCUCACCAUUUUUCAAAUUUCAAAAGCUGAGCAGAGCAAAUAUCGUUUCAGAGCAUUGCACAAUUAUGGAAGAGAAUCGUCUCCAGUGUUAAGCCUACACGGUUGAUACAUGUGGAAAAUUAUCUUGGUGCCAUGAAGAACUGGAUACACUUGCAGGAUACAUAUGAGACAUUCUUCUCCAUUGUGGACCUUCAUACGUUACGAGAUCUCUUGAAAUCUGGAGUUGAAUGCCCAGCUUUCUUUCAGAAGCUAGAGAAAGCUCAAACACAGUUCUCCCAAACUUGGUUUAUAAGAUUUUAGAGACUUGUUGGUCAGAGAAUUCGGAACUUCUCAGUGUUUCUUAUUUAUUUUCUUUAACCUGUGAAUAAUUUCUUUUUUCUUUCUUGUUAAUAUGUGAAUUUUGGGAAAAUAUUUCCAAUGACUGAUCGAUUGCAAGAUGUUUAUUUCUUUUCCGAGUGAGGUAGUACUACUGAUACCUGCUUAUUAAUUGUCUUUUUGAAUAAGUGAGUUCAUGGAAUUUGGUCAGUGAGAACGAUCUUUGGGAAGGUGGAAAUCUUGAUGUGGAUGAAGAAGACUAUGUUUUAGUUAGGCAAGAGGAUAUAGUAGAUAAUAUAGCAUUUUUCAUGGCUGCAUAUCUGUUGUCCCAGAAACAAACUAAUGUAUGAUGCCUUAUCAAACUAAGGGCAUGGGAUGGAAGCACAGUAAUUUACAAUGAGCUUCUUGGGGAGUCACAGCUAUUGGGAUAUAACAAAACUCAACCGUUCUAAAAGCUUGCAUCUGCAGAAUUCUAGACUUCCCGUCGUGUUAUAUCAAAGCUCUUUUAAGCAGCAGAUAUGUCUUGGCUGAAAUUCUAGAUGCACUGCACUGCCUCCAUUUUCAUAGUUGCAUUUGGUGCUUCCUUAACAGCUUGAUGUUCUCUAAUAACGUAAAAGCCAUUCUGUGGAUCACAACCAAGUCUCUCAAUGCAUUUUAAUCCUGUAAAUAUUUCUCUGUAAAUGUAAAUAUUUUUCCAAUGGAUAGCCUUUGUCUGCAGAAUGAUUGAGGCUCGUCUACUAACCUCACUCAACUUAGAUCAUUGAUUCUCAAAUAGAUUCCAAUUGAUUAUCUGAAACCAGACAUUCUCGUCAAUGCUAAAAGAGUUAUU